CUGUCCUCGAUUCAGCAGCAGAUACACUAAAAUUAGGACAAUACAGAGAAGAUUAGCAUGGCCCCUGCGUAAGACUGGGACGUCUACAGCCAGACUCCCUGGGUUCAAAU
ensembl:snRNA U6 U6 spliceosomal RNA